AGGGUUGAGGCCCAGUGGCAGAGCAUUUGCUUUACAUACAGAAGCCUUCGGGUUCAAUCCCUGGCAUUCCCA
rnacentral:tRNA from 1 species